UACGUAGGUGGCAAGCGUUGUCCGGAAUUACUGGGUGUAAAGGGAGCGCAGGCGGCACGGCAAGCCUGAUGUGAAAGCCCGCGGCCCAACCGCGGGACUGCAUUGGGAACUACCGGGCUGGAGUGCCGGAGAGGUAGGCGGAAUUCCUGGUGUAGCGGUGAAAUGCGUAGAUAUUAGGAGGAACACCAGUGGCGAAGGCGGCCUGCAGGACGAUGACUGACGUUGAGGCUCGAAAGCGUGGGGAGCAAACAGG
rnacentral:rRNA from 1 species